UACGAAGGGGGGCUAGCGUUGCUCGGAAUCACUGGGCGUAAAGGGUGCGUAGGCGGGUCUUUUAAGUCAGGGGUGAAAUCCUGGAGCUCAACUCCAGAACUGCCUUUGAUACUGAGGAUCUUGAGUUCGGGAGAGGUGAGUGGAACUGCGAGUGUAGAGGUGAAAUUCGUAGAUAUUCGCAAGAACACCGGUGGCGAAGGCGGCGUCCUGGACCAACACUGACACUGAGGAGCGAAAGCCAGGGGAGCAAACGGGG
rnacentral:rRNA from 1 species